AGCCGCGGUAAUUCCAGCUCCAAUAGCGUAUAUUAAAGUUGUUGCAGUUAAAAAGCUCGUAGUUGAAUUUCGGGAUCAAGGGAUCGGUCAUGCCUUGGUAUGUACUGGUCUUAUUGGUUCUCACCUUCUAAAGAACCAUGAUGUCAUUCAUUUGAUGUUAUGGGGAAUUAGGACUGUUACCUUGAAAAAAUUAGAGUGUUUAAAGCAAGCUUACGCUUGAAUACAUUAGCAUGGAAUAAUGAAAUAGGACAUCAGAUUCUAUUUUGUUGGUUUCUAGGAUCGAUGUAAUGAUUAAUAGGGAUAGUUGGGGGGAUUAGUAUUCAAUUGUCAGAGGUGAAAUUCUUGGAUUUAUUGAAGACUAACUACUGCGAAAGCAUUUGCCAAGGAUGUUUUCAUUAAUCAAGAACGAAAGUUAGGGGAUCGAAGACGAUCAGAUACCGUCGUAGUCUUAACCAUAAACUAUGCCGACUAGGGAUCGGAUGAUGUUAAUUUUUUAAUGACUCAUUCGGCACCUUACG
rnacentral:misc_RNA from 1 species